AUUCAGCGCUGGCUGCAGGCCUAACACAUGCAAGUCGAACGUGUGCCGGACCGGUGAGUACUGCCUGGGAAACUGCCCGUUUGAGUUGUAUAACUACUGGAAACGGUAGCUACUACCGCAUACCAUCGGAUGUGCCCAGAUGGGAUUAGCUAGUAGGUGGGGUAACGGCUCACCUAGGCGACGAUCCCUAGCUGGUCUGAGAGGAGUACCAGCCACACUGGAACUGAGAUACGGUCCAGACUCUUACGGGAGGAAGCAGUGGGGAAUAUUGCUCAAUGGGGGCAGGCCUGAUACAGCAAUGCCGAGUGAAAGAAGAAGGACUUCGGAUUGUAAAGUAAUUUCAGCGAGGGGGCGUUACUCGCAGAGGAAGCACCGGCUAACGCAGUAACAGCAGCCGCGGUAAUUC
rnacentral:rRNA from 1 species